CUUUUUGACGGGGAGAGGAUUAACAAGGUUAUUUUAAUGAAAAUAAUUCAUGAUAUGCUUCCUUUUCAUUCAUCUUUCAUACUACCUCUCAAAAAACUGUGGAUUAUAAAGUAGUAUUUCUUGCUAAAGAGAAUACGUGAGCACCCAGCACAUUCGUCUGCUCAAAGGAUCAUCAUCUCUGUCUGUGUUUCUUCUAGUCCCUGAGGUGGAGCAGAGUGGAACACAGACUUGGGUGAAUCUUCAUUCAGGAGAAGGGACACGUAAUGCUCAUCUUAGGUGUGUGGCUGACAACAAGAGCAGAGAGCUUUUGCUCUCAUUACAUCUGAGCAAAGCGACAAGGAACUGCUGCAGAUAGCUUGAGGUGAUCUCACUGCCAGCUCUUCACACUUGCUGUGAUGGGCGUCGCGUGCAGUGGGAUCAGCCGUGAGCCUGAGGUGGCGGCGACGGAGGUACAGUAUGAAGCUCUGGCUGGUCUUUUUUCCCUGUGUUGAGCCAGCAGAGUGAGCCUCAGAUGUGCUCUCCUGCAGGAAAGAA
rnacentral:lncRNA from 1 species